rnacentral:lncRNA from 1 species
UACGAGCAGCAGCAUUCGUUCCUGACGAUUUGAAGUAACCCGCAGUAUAGAUUGGUUCAUGAUUGGUCCAAACAUCCACGUAGUGGCAGCAGUCGGCAGGCUGUCAAUCGACGACACCUAAAGCUGUAGGUUGCGAUGACCAUGCAUACACGCCUCCCUUGCGAUGAUGCAGCGCGUCGUAAUUUUCUCUUCCUCUUUGUUAGCAAAAUAUCAAUGUGUUUUCGAUAUUUUUUUGUCCAGAUUACAGUCAUCUCUUGUUCGAAUUUAACCCUUUUCUGUGUUGUUUGUCCUAAAUAUUUUUGUAAGUUGCAAUCGUAUUAUGAAAUUAAGGCUAUCGGAUUAAAUAUUAUUUAAAUAUUUAAAUCAUUGUGUUUCGGCAAAACGUAGGGCAUUAGAUGUUAUUUUAUUUGUAAUUAGGUAUGCAUCAUUGGAUUCACAAUUUCCGAUAUCUCAUUUAUAAUUUUAUUUGUUAAAUGCAGAUAAUAUGGACAAGUUUCUUCUUGGAUUGAAGUACUAUGGAUAAUACGAACAUGUCUUUUACUGUAUGGAUAAUAUGGACAAGUUUCUUAGGGUAAUUCUUAUAUUUCAGCAAAUUUAAGUACUUUGAUUUGGG